UUUUUACUAACACAAUAAUAUUAUAAAAGUCAACACCGUUACUGUAAUUGAAAAAAUAAAUAAAUAAUAAAAAAAACCUAAAUAUAACCAUAAAAAAAUAUUAAUCUCUAGCAUGAGGUGCAAAAAGAAUAGAAAAAUUAUACACAUGUAUAUUCUCACACCCUUUGCAAGUAGUGCUUUUGCCGAAUCAAUGUAUAUUCCAAAUUAUUCAUAUUGUUUCUGUGCUAUAU
rnacentral:lncRNA from 1 species